AGUGAACGCUGGCGGUAGGCCUAACACAUGCAAGUCGAACGGCAGCACAGUAAGAGCUUGCUCUUACGGGUGGCGAGUGGCGGACGGGUGAGGAAUACAUCGGAAUCUACUUUUUCGUGGGGGAUAACGUAGGGAAACUUACGCUAAUACCGCAUACGACCUACGGGUGAAAGCAGGGGAUCUUCGGACCUUGCGCGAUUGAAUGAGCCGAUGUCGGAUUAGCGAGUUGGCGGGGUAAAGGCCCACCAAGGCGACGAUCUGUAGCUGGUCUGAGAGGAUGAUCAGCCACACUGGAACUGAGACACGGUCCAGACUCCUACGGGAGGCAGCAGUGGGGAAUAUUGGACAAUGGGCGCAAGCCUGAUCCAGCCAUACCGCGUGGGUGAAGAAGGCCUUCGGGUUGUAAAGCCCUUUUGUUGGGAAAGAAAAGCAGCAGGUUAAUACCCCGCUGUUCUGACGGUACCCAAAGAAUAAGCACCGGCUAACUUCGUG
rnacentral:rRNA from 1 species